UCCCUCUUAGCUCAGUGGUAGAGCGCGUCACUAGUACAGUUCACGAAAUGACGAGGUCAGUCGUUCAAGUCGGCUAGAGGGAA